rnacentral:rRNA from 1 species
GUGGGGAAUAUUGCACAAUGGGCGAAAGCCUGAUGCAGCGACGCCGCGUGAGGGAUGACGGCCUUCGGGUUGUAAACCUCUUUCAGUAGGGAAGAAGCGAAAGUGACGGUACCUGCAGAAGAAGCACCGGCUAACUACGUGCCAGCAGCCGCGGUAAUACGUAGGGUGCGAGCGUUAUCCGGAAUUAUUGGGCGUAAAGAGCUCGUAGGCGGUUUGUCGCGUCUGUCGUGAAAGUCCGGGGCUUAACCCCGGAUCUGCGGUGGGUACGGGCAGACUAGAGUGCAGUAGGGGAGACUGGAAUUCCUGGUGUAGCGGUGGAAUGCGCAGAUAUCAGGAGGAACACCGAUGGCGAAGGCAGGUCUCUGGGCUGUAACUGACGCUGAGGAGCGAAAGCAUGGGGAGCGAACAGGA